CUUCGUCUCUCUUCGCUCGACUUCCAGAACCCUUUUUGCGGCUUGAGUAGCCCCUCAAGCCAUUCCGCUGCAGCCUCUCUUACUCGAUGGAGCUCUAGCCCCAGCGCUCUCCUUCCGCAGCCAUUCCUCUGUGUAUCAUGUUCGUGUGCGGUGCCGAGUUAUAGCUCAAGGCUUGCGGGAGGCCAAUACUACGAUCUCGCCAUCAUGCGCACCAUCCUCAACUUCGCCUUCUACAAGCCGACCGACGAACUCAAGUUAUGUGCCUUUCCUCACCGGUCCAUGUGCCCAGUGCUCCUGUAGAAGAUCGGUAGGUGCCAUGCUAGAAAAGCCUCUACACACCCAAAAACCCGCCAUCAGUGCUGAGCCGCCGACGGGAGUCCAUCCCUCUUCCUCCCCUGAAACGUCGUCGCCCGCCACCCUUCUCCCCCAGUAGUGUCGCGAUGCUGGCUCAAGACACCGCCUUUCCUUUCUUGAACGAAGUCAAGAUGCUGCAUGUGUUGAGGAUAUACUCCAUAUGAUUAUCCGUGUCCUUUCACAGAACUCGCUUGUACCAUCUUUCUUGGAGUAGGUUUUACAGAAACGUUCCCGAUCUGAUGCUUUAAAAGAUGGGCGCAAAGGCUCCUUUCCCGAUCUGAUGCUUCUUUUCUUUUCCCCUUUUUAUUUUAUCCUUCUUCUUUUAUAGUUCCCUUAGAUCAGGUUCCACAUAAAAAAAUACCAGAAAAGAAAUAUGCAAACAACUCAUUAGCAAACAAAGGUGAGAUUUCAAGAAUCAAAUUGUACACUUUCUCAAGGCUUCAGCUCCAAUAUGUCUUGUAAAUUCAGUGUAUUAACGAUACAUAAAGGAUUGGAUUUUGUGUUUUGAAUCCUUCGUGGCAGCUUUGUUUUUGGAACAACGCUGGGCAGUACCUCUACUCCUUAAGGACUACACCAACGAGGUUCACAACUCAGACUACAAAGUCAUUCCAGUUCUCUCUGUUCUAACAAAUUAUGGAACACAUAAUUAUGCACAAGAAUUGCUUACGCAAGAUGAUGCAUUUAGCCUUCCAAGUACACAAGAUUCUCCAGCAAUAUCGUUUGGUAUAUAUUCUCCACGUGCACCAAUCAAAAAACUGGACGACGCGACAAACUCGCAUAUUCCCACAUGCUACGCGAUACUGAGCUUGAUCACAGGAUCAUGAACUCUGCACGUCAACAUGACAAGGACAGACUGCCCUCGCCACCCUAAGAUCAGGACUAGCCAACUUCGCAUACUCUAAUCUGAUUCUAUAUAAUCUGGUGACCAUGGCAGUUAUAUUAUAUCGUAAGUUGCACCGAGGCUUGCAAAGGUCGUCCACGUUGCUAGAACGAGUUUGCUUUUGUGUAUAGAGGACCAAACUGAUAAAGGCCAUCCAAUUUCGUAUAUGUUUCUACCACCCAUAUCAGUAAGCUCUAUCUUAUGUUUAAUGGAGACUAUGUGUCUUAUCGUGUAAGUUUGCUCUACAACUAAACUGUAACGGUGAUAGUCAUCAUGGUAGACUCAUCUUAGGUUUGUACUGUGAUGUAUACUAUAAUAUUUAUCUGCUUCACAACCAA